rnacentral:rRNA from 1 species
UACGGGGGGAGCAAGCGUUGUUCGGAUUUACUGGGCGUAAAGGGCGGGUAGGCGGCCACCGCAAGUCAGUUGUGAAAUCUCUGGGCUUAACCCAGAAAGGUCAACUGAUACUGCGGGGCUAGAGUGCAGAAGGGGCAACUGGAAUUCUCGGUGUAGCGGUGAAAUGCGUAGAUAUCGAGAGGAACACCAGUGGCGAAGGCGAGUCCCUGGACAACUUCUGACACUGAGGCACGAAAGCUAGGGGAGCAAACAGG